GUAGUACCUACAAUGAAAAUGCCCCUAUGAAGAGACAUUUACAAAGUGACUUGAUCAGAUAUUUUCUGCUGAUUACAUGACAGCUGGGAGAAUUUGCCAUUUUCUUUGUAUAAAAUUACAAAGAACUUCAACAAAGGGCUUUGUCCCCAACCUUUGAAAAGAACUAAACCAGCAGAACCUCUAGUAAACAAGGAUCUCUGUAAUUCUGGUGAGAGCAAAAAGUGAUUAGAUUCACAGUGAUCUGGAGGCUGUAGCAGUAAAGAACUUUCUACUUUGAUGAACUCAGCAAGUUUUAUUUCCUUUUGAAACAACUUAUGGCAGAUGGAAAACUGAUUUUGGUUGUCUAUUAUGAUUUUAAUGCUUUUUUCCUUCCAAAAUAUUUUUUGUUGGUUUGAGGGGUUUUUUUUCCUUUUUUUUUGGUCCCCUUUAUUUUUUUUUUUUGCUUGUUCUCCAUCUGAGAAUAGUAAUUGCCCCAUGGCUCUUUUCAUUUGAUGUCUAAAGAGGUUGACUUUCAACAGCAUAGAAUAACACACUUAAAUCCUAAGGCUAUUUUAAUCUGGAAUGUUCAGGAAAGGUCUUUACCUUGUAAUAGGGGUUGUUGCUGAA